UUUUUUUUCUCAGCUAUGAGAUCAAAAGCCUUCUUUUCCAGAUGACUAGAGCAUGAAGUAAGUUGAGCCAACACUGCCACCUUACAUAGGGCUUUGUUGGUAUAAGGAACUCGGGAUGUGACUUACAUACAUUCUCAGGGAACAUUGCCAAAGCCAUGUAAGGAAUCUGGGAAUGGACGCCUCUCCCUCAUAGUGUUACAGCUGAGCUCAUGAACAUGGCUUCAGAGCACAAGGAAGCUCUCAUCAUCCAGAGAGGAAUACCAACCGCUCAUUCCAGGGAUUGAUGGAGCCUUCACAGUGGCCUAAGGGCAUGUGGUUCCUCCCAGCUGGAAGACUUACUGAGCCUCAGCCUCAGCUCCCACACCCACAAGGUAUCAGGCUGCAGGUAUCUCUCCCCACCCCCGUUUCCAUGCACGGCAGCUCCAUGCCCAAGUAAAAACGGACCUUGUUCUGGUUCACACGGCAUCCUAGGAGGUGAAGAAAACAUGCGUGUAAAGAUUACAAACUUUUCAAGAUACCCAGAAGACAAAAAUAAAGUCUCAGAUGCAGCAGUUUAUCCAAGUUUUGCUGUUUCUUUACCUCCUGCCUUUAUACUACUUAUUGUGUGUGGGGGGGGGGGGAGCAUAAAAUAUUUAUAACAAAUCUCAUAUCAUUUCAUAUCACCCCUGACAUACUUUAGUAAUUGUAACUUUUGAGACAGGUCUGACCUGGCGCUCUCUGGGGCUGUGGUUGACCUUGAACUCCUAUACUCUACCUACCUUCCUAGUGCUGAGGAAUGGGCCACCACACCUGGGUUUUUGCAGUGUGGAGAACUGAACUGGGGGCUUAGGCAUGCUUUGUAAGCACUCUCCCAACAGAGCGCAUUCCCAGCUCCCUGUGUGGUCAUUACUGAUUUAUUUUGGAGAAAAGGUCUCACUGUGUAACCCAGGCCUCUCGCUCUUGUCCUGUGUCAGCAGCUUCCUGAGGGCUAGAGGGCCACAGGAGUGUGUUACUAUGCCCACCUCCAAAAUCAUUUUUAUGUAUAGGUUUUUAUAAUUCCUGUAAUUGGUAAUCCUACAACCCAAGAAUCAAGCUGAACAUGGUCACAUCCACUUGUAAUACCAGCAUUAGGGAAGCUGAGGCAGGAGAAUGGUGAUUUUGAGGUCAGGCCGGAUUGGACAUGAAAGCAACACAGGAAUCAACAAAGCCCCAACCAGACGCUUUAGAGAGACAGAUCUGAACAAAGUUCCGUGGCUUGGCAGGGCAACAAUCGGCUCACACUUGUGGGUCUACAGACUGGAAUCGCAGCACGCUGUGUGUGUGAGCUCGCAGCUCGUUGUGUGUGAGCUCGGCUUCCUGUGCAUUUCGGACGUCUGUCAAUGACUGAUCAUUGUAACUUACAGGAAUUUUUUAAACAAUUUUUUAAUUGAAAAAUCCCAGCCUCUGUCAGCUGCCAGCCUCCCAGCUUCUACUUCUGAGGAGCAGGAAGUGGGUGGGUAAUGACAACGGGCCUGUAAACUGCGGACUCUAACCCGCCGAUGACUCAUCCGGUACAAUGCAGUAUAUUUGUCAAGGAGACUGAAUCAUAUAUGGGGGAAACUACUGCUCAGCAGCCAGCUGGUUCGCAGGUCAGCCUGAGAGGAUCCAUUUUUAUCGGAAGCUUUAUCGUAGCGAUGAUGCUAACGGGCAGCCCUUGGACUCCACAAUGUAGAGGAAAUGGCAUCUCCGGGCAGGUACGUGCCGGCUCUUUGCUUGGGUUGUAGUUUCUCCUUGUUCUCCUCUCUGCUGAACCUGUCCAGUGUUUGCGUGUAACAUUCUUUUGGGAGAAACAUUAUCCUCAGGACCUGUGUGGGGUGUGUGUGUGUGUGUGUGUAUGUGUGUAUGUGUGUGUGUUUGUGUGUUCACCCACAUGCAAAGACAGGUAACCACUGAUCUUCUAUCGAAUAGGUUUUCUUCACUCAUCGCCCUCUCUGAAUCUCCCUAGAGAUUCACAUCAAAAUGGCUUUAACCCAUUAUUUUAUAUUAAUAAGUUUUAAGGAUGCUGCUUGGAAACAGAAGGACAACAGACCUUCUAGGGGGGUAGCUAAGGGUGUUAUCUGGUGUCAACAGUCUAAUAUGAAUAUCUUUCAGUAUCCGUACCGUCUACCCAGCCCCCCCCCCCUUUGUGUGGCUUAAUCCAAGAAAGCUUUAUUCCCCUCCUCAGCUGAUAUGUUUAUUUUUUGCCGAUCACAAUUUGCUUGAAUCAGAGCAUCAACUUUUCCAAGGUAGAAGAAAAGGGAGUGGGGACUUGAUAGCAACAUUUAAUUAUAGCUUCCACAUGACCUGAAGGAUCAUUCCACAUAAUUGGGAGGCUGUGGCUGCCUGUCUAACCUUCUCUCUUUUCUUCACUCACUAAAUUUAAACAAUGCCUGGCUAGUGGAGGCACAUGCCUUGUUUAUUUGAGUAUAUUAAACAUUCCUAUGUGUGUUGACAGACUGUUCAGCGUCUCCUCAUAUUUUUAAAGGACACUUUUUAAAUCCUUCUUGUCCGGGACAGAUGCUCUAGUUAAGUUUAUAUCUGUGCUAUGUCUGCCUUGCUGGACGGGCUCUCCGCCUGGGGUCAGGACCUGUACUACCGCUGGCUGCCCAUACAUUUGCCUGAGAUGAAACACUGACUACACAGUCCCCUCUGUGGUGUAAAUCCUGCGGUCCCUUAGAGAGAACAUCUACAGAUCUGGAAUUACCAAGCUAGCGAGCAAGGCGGGCUUCGUUCCUGUUUAUUUAUCAUAGAGCCUAUAGUAAAGCCUUGGUUUUCUUCAGGUGUAUGAAUUUUAAACUCCUGGUAAACAGAUUUAUUUCAUUUAUUGGUUUCAGCACAUUUAGAAAACUUGGAAGGAGUUUGCUCAGUAUGUUCUGUUUGUAGAUUAUAGUGUGCUUUUUUUUUCUUUUCUUUCUU
rnacentral:lncRNA from 1 species